CUGCAGCUUCAAGAUAUAUGGCUCAUAUCGGCACCCUGAUAGUGCUUUAAUGCACUGUGUUUAUGUCACAGGCCACAGACCCUUGCCCACUGCAGCUGUCCACUGUCCUGCCCAGCGAUCACUGAGGGGGCCGAGCCUGGCCUGCCAGCAGCUGAGAACAGCCUCUAAUCUGAUAAAGAUUUUCAUUUACACUGCAAUCAAUAACCUGGGGUCUAUCGGCAAUGUAACUAUUUAUACAAGCAUUCCUGGCUCUGUAUUGAUCACAAGUGCGGGAAACCAUCAUUUAACGAUGGGUGUGUGUGUGUCUGUCCAUUUGUGUGUGUUAAUGAGUGCUCAUCCUUUUGUGCUUCACAUUUUGAUUAUGUCAAUUAAGAACACUCACCUGAGAUUAAACAUGCAUGAGCUUAUUACAGGCCCAUUAAGGCUGUUUUAUAGCAGUGUUUAAAUAUUAAUACAUAUAACAUGCUGGUUAUUGGUUAAUAACACAACAAUGAUUUAAAAAAUGUAACAAAAAAAAUAAUACAUGUAAGCAUAGAUUCCCUAGUUGGGGUGUGUGGGUGUGUGUGUGUGUGUGUGUGUGUGAAUAGGUGUGUGUGGGUGUAUGAGUGUGCAGCACAGAAAGGAAAGGCAGGGAUAUGAAAGGGGAUGAGAGCCAGCAGAGAAGAGUUGUGUGCUUUAUACUUUUUUUGUUUUUUGUUUUGUUUUUAGUAUAGGACAUGGAUUUAAAGCUGGAUAAUGUUAUUUGUGAAGAAUAUGUAGAUGGAAGUUGAUCUCCAAAAACCCAGAAGGCAAACAUGGAUUUUUCUCUUGUUAUGGCUGCCGUUAAAUCGGAGACAAUUUGUCAUUUUUCGUAACGGAAGACAACGACAAUGAAUGGCAGCAUGAGUUCCAGCGUUAUGGUCCAGACUGCGGGGUGCGUCAGUUGGUGGCAAUGUACUGCCUCCAUCAACCUGUGCUACAUUCACACAGGUAUUUAUAGGCCACAAAACGUAUCCCUUCUAAGCUUUAUGGCUCCUUGAUGGCCGCUGCAUGCAGAGAAAUAAUUGUACAAUUUCUAAGGUAUCACAGAAAGUCCAAACAAAGUGCGCUCUUAUUUCUUAAAUAUGCAUGAAUAAACUUCAUAUUUUCUUCCAUAACAUACAGUAUCUUGCAUUUUUUCAGUACACUUUGUAAUAGUUUGUCCGAUUUUAAAUGCACACUGAUUUAAUGUGACUAAGUAACAAACAACAGUAGGUUUGUAGGUUCUCUAUGAGAACCAAUUGUUACUGCAGUUACAGCUGCAAGUCUUGCAGGGUGUGUCUCUACCAGUUUUUCCAAUCCAGCGAUGCUCUUUCUUCUGUACUAAAUGGCUCAUGUUCAGUCAGUUUGCUUGGGAUUCUGUGUGGUUUCAAUAGCAAAAAUAUUAAAACACAAUUUCACUCCCUUUUUAACCUAAUCAGUUGCAUGCAACACUUCAUGUAUUAAAGAAAUAUAAAAAUCCCUCUGUCCUUUUUCUUCCACUUCCCCGUAACCUUGAAAACAUGAUAUAUAAACUGUGUUUGUUGUUGUAAUGUAACAAUACUUUUAAUAAAGCUGUAGGCAUUUCAUAAUGCGUUGUUAAUGUUCUCCAUUUUGGGGAGUCCGUUCUUGAACUCUUUUCAGAUCAUUGCAGAAGAGGAGCUUGCAGCUGCAUAAAGGGGCAAGAGCAGAAAGGCUUCAUUUGUUAAACCUCAGUGUCAGCACCUGCUGAUGUGCUGACUUUGUCAUAGCAUGUUUAAAACAGCUACGGCGUUAUGGAGGUUCAUUCGAUCACUAUGUCAAGCUUGCUGCUAGUGAAUGAAAAAUCAUUUUGAUAUCUGAAAAAUAAAUCCAGAAGUGUCAGUUUAAAUAUUUAUUGAAUGUCUUCAGUAUUGAGAAAUCGUCAGAAGGUUUGAUGGAAAUUCAGCAACCUGCCUCUUUUCUUGUCUAUUGUUUUUCGUAAUAAAGUUUUUUACUGGCCAGAUUUGUUAUCAGCAACUGAUUUCUCAUCGGAAAAGGGACAAAGAGGAAUCUCUUAAUAACAACUUUAAUGAAAUUAUACUAACAAACCAAUAUUACCUGGUUCUAUAUGUGAAUGUUGAAUGUGUGCAAUAAAGUUAGAGAAUCUAUGAUUUUGAAAAAAAAAAAAAAGCAUUUAAUUUGAUAAUAAAAACUCUAAGUUUUAUAUGUUAUUCAAAUAUCUCAUCAAGAUGUGGCUUGUUCUUGCUCACAAGAACAAUUAUCCCUCUUUUUACUUUGUUUCUGAUUUAAUUUUCUUCCUGAUCAGACAGUGCCUGUUUGUGUGAUCGUUUAUCUUUCAUUGUUAUUAUGAUUCAUUUGUUUAUUUUUGAAUGCGUUUGAUGUUUUAUUCAUUUUAUUUUUGUUGCCUCUGCCUUUGACGGAUGAAAUUCCCCUUGGGGAUCAAUAAGGAAUAUCAUCUUAUUUCAUUUCAUCUCAUCUCAUAUCUUCUCAUCUCCACGGCUGUGGCCUGCUGCA